UACGAAGGGGACUAGCGUUGUUCGGAAUUACUGGGCGUAAAGCGCACGUAGGCGGAUUUGUUAGUCAGGGGUGAAAUCCCGGGGCUCAACCUCGGAACUGCCUUUGAUACUGCGAAUCUUGAGUCCGAUAGAGGUGGGUGGAAUUCCUAGUGUAGAGGUGAAAUUCGUAGAUAUUAGGAAGAACACCAGUGGCGAAGGCGGCCCACUGGAUCGGUACUGACGCUGAGGUGCGAAAGCGUGGGGAGCAAACAGG
rnacentral:rRNA from 1 species